rnacentral:lncRNA from 1 species
AGCAAAGAAAGUUUUUUAAAAGAGGGAGAAGUUUUGAAAUUUAAGAAGUGGGAGGAGAUGAAGAAUCUAUCCUUAGCACAAAUUUAAAAGUUAAGAGUUAAAAAAAAAUAUGACCAAUAGAAUGCAAUCCAACAGACAAGAAUGUCAUAUAGAAACCCAUUUUACUUUGGACUUUAAUCAAGCAACAAGCAAUAAGCAGUGAGCAAUAUCCAAACAUCAUGAAGAUCAAGGCAUCAAAUAA